UAGAAGAUAGUAAACAGACUCUUUGUCUAGGAAAAUAUAUAACUGGGGGGGUUCUUCCCACCUUGGGGCACUGCCUGCCUUGAUAGUUCCACCUGGAGAGUCCCCUAGCAUUGCAAAGGACAGGCUGCUGCCAUGGCUGGAUGGUGCCUGCUUUUGGCUGGCUCUCCCCACAUUGCACUCUUGUGCAAGCCAGCAGGCUUAACGAGCCUCGGCUCCUUCUGAGUAAGGGAACCUGCAGCACCUGGCCUGCCCUCUCUCUGACCCUAAUCAGUAGCUAAUUGCUGGCUGCCUCCCAGCUGGGGGCAAUUUUGGCUCUCCCCUCCUGUUUGUGAGGGCAGCUUCAUCCUGCAACCAUCCCACUCGGGAAGAAGUGCUGGAGACGCGAGUUUGGUGGCUCUGUGACUCCUCUUGGACUUCUGUGGCAUGGAUCUCAAGUAUCGGACAUUGCCAGCAGCAUCUCAGGCUGCUCCUGCAGAAAGAAUCCAGCAGGGACUGCCUGUCCCACAGCCUGAGGUCACCGAGUCUGCAAACUGGAAUUGUCCAUGGAAACUGCCCAAUUGGAAACUGUCCAUGAAGAGGCAUAGCCCUGGCACCACUGGCUUCUUGAGACGCUGCUCCCAGGAGUAAAGAACAAGCUGCUGGACUCUGGAAGGUGAACUGGAGGUCAACCCCCUGCCUUUUUCUCACUGUUUCUGUAGACAAAGUUCUGCAUGUGAGAAUAGAAGAGGUUUGAAACUCUUUACACGGAGAAAUGCACAUUUGCUGCAAGUCUUAGUUUGUUAAUUAUCUCCAUACAUUACAUUCCUCAGUAAUAAUAGGUGUGAUGUUAAUGGUGAUAUUGUGCCCUAUUUGUGAUUGUGGCUUAGUGUAAUUGAGAGUGAUGAGAAAGUAAUAAUGAUAAUGGCCUCGUACUGCAACCCUGUCCCUAGGCAGUGGAAGUAAGAUGGAAAUUCCUUGGCAGUUAACAAAAAAAUGUAUAUUUAUAUAUAUAUAAAAUGGCUUGGAAGCUGCAAAAGGAAUGGUUAAGAGUUUAGGAACAGUAUUUUAUAAACCUCCUGAAAAAUCUGAUACAGUAUGUUUAGGAUUGGCCAAAUCUGUUUUGGGGAACAGUAAAGACAGUUGUAUUUAACCAAGCAUUAGCAUGAUCUGUAGAAACAGAUGUUCUCCCUCAAGGACAAUGAUGAAGCAUUAAUUACAGGUAGAGAUGAGCUGAAACAAAGACUAGAAACCUGCUGCUGCUGGAGCCUCUUUUAGGUUGCUGAUUUAUUGUAGCUAAUUGUGGAAUACAAGUUCUAAUGAAGAUGAACCUUGAAGCCAGGCAGGUAAACGUGUUAUUCUAUGGCCUGAAAUGAUACAUUCCACUUACAUCAUGUUGGAAAUUAAGCUUGAUAUAAAUUGCAGUUGUAAGGAGCAGUUUGCCCUGGGAUUAAAAUGAAAGCACCUGAUGGAGAUAACUGCUUUGUGAAUGCCAAGGAUGCUUACUCCUCUUUCGUGCAAAUGACUUCCUGGACCACAUCACUUAGAGCAUGAUGGAAGAGCAGUGUCCUGAACAAAAACAUUUGAGUGGGUGAUUAAGUGUUGCUGCCUGUUGUUAAGUGUAAAGCAGAAGAAUUAAGACCGAAUAGGUCAAUUAAUGACUGGGUUUUCCUAGUCCAACAAAAAAAAGGUGGUCAGUAGAGAGAGGGAGUACUCCUGUCAAUUUGAGCAGGAGAGAAGUGUGUGUAUAUGCAUGAACACUGAGAAGUGACACUCAGAGCCAAAUAACUACAACUUUCUGGUAACCAAGGCUAGAUAUGAAAGUGUAGAAAAUAAGACUUAGUCUUUGGAAGCUUUUCAUCUCUAAGGUACAGUCUCAAUCUCUCUGCUCCUGAUGUAUUUCAGGUUUAAAAGAAUUGCUGAUAUGUCUAAUUGCAUGCAUGAGCUAUUAUCUCCCUAAAAAGCAUAA